AGCCGGCUAGCUCAGUCGCGGUGGAGCAUGAGACUCUUUAUCUUAGGGUCGUGGGAUCGAGCCCCAUAUUUGCUG
rnacentral:tRNA from 1 species